rnacentral:lncRNA from 1 species
CUUCCAUAUGGUAAUGUGAAGGAAAUUUUCGAAACUUGAAAAAAAAAGGGCUAUUAAGCACCGUAAUUGAUCACUUUGACGUUGCUAUGGUUUGAGACAUUUGUUUGCUUAACAAAAUUUGCUAUAUGAAAUCACAUCCCUGUUGGCUUAACAAUUUAUUGAAAAUCUUGUCCAGCCAAUUUGGUUGCAACACACGGAAGUAUGGAAGAUGCGAAUGAAGAUCCGUUAUUGUUGUCUGAUGAUGAGAUAGUUGGGGAUAAUAUCGAUAGUAUGGACAGAGAACCGUUAGGAGAAGAUAAAGAGGUUGCUCUGGAGGUAGGUAUGAUUUUCGAUGGUGAAAAAGAGUUGUUUGACUUUUAUAAGAGAUAUGCUUAUGCCGUCGGCUUUCCCGUGAAGAAAAGGAAUUCGAAAAAGGGUGACAAUGGAGUUGUUAGAUUUAUCACAUUCACAUGUAGCCGUGAAGGACGAAGAGGCAGUAACACAAGUAGUACUUUGAAGCCGCAACCAACAAGUCAAAUAGAUUGUAAAGCAAGAAUAUCUGCAUCUACAGAUAAAGUUGGGAAAUGGAGAAUUAACACCGUGUAUCUCGAGCAUAAUCAUAAAACAAGUCCUUCGAAGUCGAGGUUGUUUCGAUGUAACAGAGAAUUGACUGCAAAUGCGAAGAGAAAGCUUGAAUUAAAUGAUAUGGCAGGAAUUCCGUUGCACAAAAGUUACAACUCCGCAGUUGUGGAAGCAGGGGGGUAUAAUAAUUUGACUUAUGUUGAGAGGGAUUGUCGCAAAUAUAUUGAACAAGUAAGAAGGUUACGACUUGGAGAAGGAGACGCCGCAGCUUUACAAUCCUAAUUUUCAAAGAUGCAAGCACGGUGUUCGGGAUUUUAUUUCAGUAUGGAUUUGGAUGAUGAGUCACGGCUUCGAAAUAUAUUUUGGGCAGAUAACAGAUGUAGGCAAGCAUACAAGGAGUUUGGCGAUGUUGUUACCUUUGACACGACGUAUCUUACAAGUACGUACGACAUGCCUUUCGCUCCUUUUGUCGGAGUUAAUCACCAUGGACAAUCAAUACUGCUUGGUUGUGGUUUGUUGUCGAAUGAGAACACGGGUACAUUUGUGUGGCUGUUCAAGACAUGGCUCGAGUGCAUGCAUGGCCAGCCUCCCCACGGAAUAAUUACGGAUCAAGAUAGGGCCAUGCAGAAUGCGAUUGAGAUUGUGUUUCCAAAUACUAAACAUAAAUGGUGUUUAUGGCAUAUUAUGCAGAAGUUGCCAGAAAAAUUUGGCUAUCAUGUUGACAAAGGUUUGAUAUUCUCAUCUAUACACGAAUUGGUAUAUGAUUCCGAGAGUACUGAUGCAUUCGAAGAAGGUUGGAGAACGAUGGUCGAAAAGUUUGACUUGGAUGGCAAUGAUUGGUUGUCGGGCUUGUACGAUAACAGAAGUCGUUGGGUACCAUGCUUUCUGAAGACAACAUUCUGGGCAGGGAUGUCUACAACACAACGAAGUGAGAGCAUGAAUGCAUUUUUUGAUGGAUAUGUACAUUCGAAAACCUCAUUGAAGCAGUUUGUGGAACAGUAUGAAAGAGCACUUCGGAACAAGGUCGAGAAAGAGUUUCAGGCUGAUUUCAGGUCAUACUCACAAAUUGUGCCAUGUGCAACUGCCUUCGAAAUGGAAAAACAAUUUCAAUCAGUUUAUACAAUAUCCAAGUUUAAGGAAGUGCAAGAUGAGUUCGUAGGGAAGGUGUAUUGCGAUGUCGUUGCAGCUUCAGAUGGAUAUUUUGGGACAAAGUACGAGAUUCGAGAAUCUGUUGUAUAUCCUGAGGGCGGGAGGAAGAAAUCAUAUUUCGUGACAUUUCGAAUGAACACAAGUGAAGUUCUUUGCAGUUGCCAUUUGUUUGAGUUUCGAGGAAUUAUUUGUAGGCAUGCGAUCACAGUAUUAGAUCGUAAUGACAUCACGACAAUGUCGGAUAGGUAUAUAAUCAGCAGAUGGAGGAAAGACGUAAGCAGAGCACACACAAGAGUCGCGGUGAACUACGACGGGUUAGCUAGUACUCCAGAACAGAUUCGAUAUGAUGAUUUGUGUCAGACAUUUUCAGAGUUGGCGGACCUUGCUGCAAAUGAUGAAGGGCAGGCUCGUGUGGUAAAGGAUUGGAUAAAAUGUCAAACCGCAGAACUAAGGUCUUUAAAUUCGAGUAAUGGUAGUAAUGUUCUUUCCCAACCAAGUAUGCAUUUACAAGGCCAAUGUAAUAAUUCAGAAAGUCCUGGCGGCGUGAAUGUAUUUGAUCCUAAAACAUCGAAUAGAAAGGGCACGCCAAGGAAACUUAGGAGGAAAAGUGCGUUGAAGUCCACUUCAAAGAAGGCUAAGGUAAGUUGCUUUACUAAUCUCGUCAAAUAGAAAAGGAGCUUUGCUAUGAAAUCUUAUUUCUUUCCACGUACAUGCACAUGGUACUUCAAAUAAAUCCAAAGGAAAGAGACUACCACCUAGCCGUACCGAUAUGGAAGAGGCUACAUCGGUCCUUCAGUUAUCUGGACGAAUUGAAGAUUCUCAGCCUACCCAAUUUUCAUAUUCAU